AUUGAACGCUGGCGGCAUGCCUUACACAUGCAAGUCGAACGGUAACAGGUCUUCGGAUGCUGACGAGUGGCGAACGGGUGAGUAAUACAUCGGAACGUGCCCGAUCGUGGGGGAUAACGAAGCGAAAGCUUUGCUAAUACCGCAUACGAUCUACGGAUGAAAGCAGGGGACCGCAAGGCCUUGCGCGAACGGAGCGGCCGAUGGCAGAUUAGGGAGUUGGUGGGAUAAAAGCUUACCAAGCCGACGAUCUGUAGCUGGUAUGAGAGGACGACCAGCCACACUGGGCCUGAGACACGGCCCAGACUCCUACGGGAGGCAGCAGUGGGUAAUUUUGCACAAUGGGCGAAAGCCUGAUCCAGCCAUGCCGCGUGCAGGAUGAAGGCCUUCUGGUUGUAAACUGCUUUUGUACGGAACGAAAAGACUCUGGUUAAUACCUGGGGUCCAUGACGGUACCGUAAGAAUAAGCACCGGCUAACUACGUGCCCGCCGCCGCCGUAAGAC
rnacentral:rRNA from 1 species